rnacentral:rRNA from 1 species
CGGCCUCGGAUCAGGGAGU